AUGCUGGAAAGGGCCAACGGGCACCUCAGAGAAAUGCAGGCCGAGCUGCAGAGAAAACGAGCGGAAGCAGACAGCAACCGACUGACACGAGAUAUCGGCAUCGGGCUGAUGUUUAUUCCUCUCGUGGGGACAAUUGCUGGCUCCAUCAUGGUCAUCUGUGGGCAGGUAGCUUUGGAUGCCGCUGAGAAAGCCGCAGGCGAGGCCCAGGAUGCCGUUAAGCGACACAUGAAUGAAGUGUUCAAGUACUCAGCAGAAGUCUGCAGAUAUGACGAGCAGAAGCGGCAGGUGGAGGCCGAGAUCGCAGCCAAUAAGCAGCGACUGGCUCAGAUCGAUGCAGAGCGACAGGCGUUGGCCAUGCUACAGGGGGAGAUCGUCACCCUGCAGAACGGGCUGAGGAAAUGUGUUACCUUCAUGAAUGGGCUAGCGGGGAGGGUAAGCGUGGCUAAGAGGCUCACCGAGCACCUGCUGAUCUACGAGGAGCUGGCCAACAUCCUCGGAGAGAUCGUCCAGCAGGUGCUGCCCCUAAUGAGCCCAGGAGGAGAGGCUGGCACGAGAUUCCUGGCCGCGGGGGAUCUCCAGGGCCUCAUUGAGAAGUUGAAGUCAGGCGGUUGCAGGCUCAGAGCCCUGGCAGAUGCCGAGGUAGCAGCAAUUGAGUUUUAAGGCCACGAUUUCAAAAGCCAAAGGCCCAGGCCCAUGGCCAGGCUGCGGCGAGCGCAUAGGUUUCCGUCUACACUUGAGAAUCGUACUGGCCUACAAUGCUGGUUAGUUGGGCUGCCACCUCCAAGAUCCAACACUCCCUCCCCCAAAAUAGCCUUUGCCCCUCACCUCCACCAUCCUGACCCUCUUCUUCCUCUCAGGCAGCCCCUGGGGCUCAAACCCCCAUCUCCGCACCCCUGUACCCACUCCUGACUCUCCCUGCUGGUGAGCCUGGCGUCCUGCCCUCCCUUCUCCACCACGUGACCCGGCACACUCCUCCCAAGAUCCCUGCGCGGCCACUGGGGUUAUGAGUGAAAACACCCCUGGCACAUGGCAACCAGCACGAGAAAAACCGGCCAGGUGCCAAUCCCAGCCAGGGCUGUGCCAUGUUAACUNUGAGAAAAACGGGCCAGGUGCCAACCCCAGCCAGGGCUGUGCCAUGUUAACUGACACGGAGAAACCGGUACAGCCCCCUGUGUGCAAACAGUUAUACUGGUGUGAAGGGGCCUUUACUAGUUUAUCUAAGUCCCCUUCCCCUGUGGGAAUAGGCACCGACAUGCCAGUAUAGCUGCCUCCACACUGCAGGGGGAUAGCUAGACGGGAUGAGCUAAAGCAGUACAACUUCCUAAUGUAGACAAGACCUAAAUUGUUUUUUACGUGGUGGAGUAAAAUCAUUGCAACCCCUGUGUGGAUGCGUUUUGUUCUGGCUUAGGAGUAACUAGUGUGAAGCUUGAUCGAUGCUGAAAAAUUCUACGGGCAUUGCUGUGUCGGGCAGGGUGUAAGAACAACACCCACCCACACCCCAUGGCUGUGCUGGUAAAACCCCCAAUGCAGACACAACUGUGUCAACAGAGGAGUGCUUCCGGCAGAUCCACUAACAUCUUUUCGGGAGGUGGUGUUUGUUGUACCAUCCGAAAAGCUCCUGGUGUUGGCGUGAGCUGCGUCCGCACGAGGGAACCCGGCC
ensembl:lncRNA